GAAACUAGAACCAAACAACAAAGUAAUAUAAUUCAAGAUGGGUUGCACUGGCAGUAGUCAGCAGAAGGAGAAAGACAAUCCUCUGGAUGGAGCAAACGGGUUGCCAGAUACUACAUACCCCCUCCGUGGUCCUCUAGCUCUUCCAGUUGAUCAGAGCAUACAGCCUCCAGAACAUG